rnacentral:lncRNA from 1 species
UCACCAUCCAUCUGCUCCAAUGCCGUCGGAACUGUAACUCAUGUUUGAUCACACCAUUAAAGAUCUCGCCACUGUUCUUAUCCUCUCUCUCUGUUUUUUUGCUUUUCACGAUCUCUGGAAAAUCAUGGAGGAUCUCACCGAGGAUCAGAGGUAGUGACGCAAACCAUGCAUGGAUGAUGCAUCAUAUGCGCCGUUGUCACGACUCACGAGAGCCAGGUUUGUUGCUUCUCGCUUAGUUUCCUAUUUGAUAUCUUGGAACCUUGGAUUUUUAAUUCUUAGCGUAACUUGCUGCACAAAAAAAGGUCUCUUUGAGUUAGGUCAAUCAAUAUUUAGUUUUCUAAACGCAGUUUCAUCGGAGGAACUAGAGUUUGCAAAUUGUAGUAGUUUUACGAAAUUGACCUAACCUGUAGUUUGUCUUGUCCGUUAUCACUUUGUUUCAUAAUUAGUUUUCUUCUUGUUAUUGUAGGUUCCUAUUCUUGAUUCGCCAAAUUAAUCAGUGGGUGCAGCCCCAAGACUGUUUGGUUUCACUGGAAUGAUAGACAACACAUUUUGCUAUUGCUUGGUAACGAAUUUCUAUCCUUUCUUUCUUUUUCCUUUUUAAAAAUUAAUAAUUAUUUAUUUGGUAGUAAAAAUGUUUUUUUCUUAUAGUCGGAUUUUUUCAAAAACUUUUUUGUGUUUGUUUAAAUUUUUUUUUUUAUUGUUUUGGAUACUAAAUUUAUAUAAUGAUAAGAAAACUAACCGGAUUUUGGAUCCAGCAUUAGUCGUUAGUGAUUCCAAACAUUCAACUUGUUUUUCCUAUUAUUAUGUAGAUUUAGCAUUCAAGUUUUUAAUUCGGAUUCUUAAAAAUAGUUUUUGAAAUUUUGAUUUUGUUUCUUUUCGAAUUUUUUUCUUGUAUUUGUUUUGUUUAAAUUUUUUUUAUUGUUUUGGAU